rnacentral:rRNA from 1 species
UACGUAGGGUGCGAGCGUUAAUCGGAAUUACUGGGCGUAAAGCGUGCGCAGGCGGUUUGUAAGCCAGGUGUGAAAUCCCCGGGCUCAACCUGGGAAUGGCAUUUGGGACUGCAAGGCUGGAGUGCGGCAGAGGAGACUGGAAUUCCUGGUGUAGCAGUGAAAUGCGUAGAUAUCAGGAGGAACACCGAUGGCGAAGGCAGGUCUCUGGGCUGACACUGACGCUGAGGAGCGAAAGCGUGGGGAGCGAACAGG